GACGAACCGAGCGAACGUUGUUCGGAAUCACUGGGCUUAAAGGGCGCGUAGGCGGGUGCUCAAGUCCGUGGUGAAAUCCUCCGGCUCAACCGGAGAACUGCCUCGGAUACUGGGCGUCUCGAGUGUGGUAGGGGUAUGCGGAACUAUCGGUGGAGCGGUGAAAUGCGUUGAUAUCGAUAGGAACUCCGGUGGCGAAGGCGGCAUACUGGACCACCACUGACGCUGAGAAGCGAAAGCAUGGGGAGCGAACAGG
rnacentral:rRNA from 1 species